UCCCCACCAUGAUACAUCCUCCCCCGGUCGUCGGAUCCGGCCGAGAUCAGUUUUGGACGUGCUACCACUGGGGUGCAUCCCUUUCUUACGCCCCCACGUCGGCCUCCAUGGUUGUUGUCCUCCUCUUGGUCAUGUUCUCACGGCUGGCUUCAAAGAUUACACUCGGCGGUGGCUUAACUGAAUUCAGAGAAGUUUGGACGUAUACAGUUCUACAAUCAAGCACGUGUAUGUGUUUGAUAUAAUGCCUAAAUGUACUAGCAUCCUUUUUGUUGCAUUGGCUGUUGGUGCAUAACAAAUGAGUAGAUGAUCUUAAUUUUCUAUAAGGAUGAUAAUCCUGACUCUUAUUUUUGACCUUCUUUUACUGUGUAUAACAUGCUAAUUUCAACUGAAUAGACUGCCAAUUUGCCAAUCAGUUUGUGUUAUUUUCACUGAAUAUUUUGUUGAUGUGCAGUAAAAUGUUUGUGGUUGCAGGCAGAUCUUGAGUGGAUUAUGUCCUUUAACUCAGAUUUGCUCAUUGCUGUCGGUGGAUACUUGCUCUGAGGGUGUGAUCUGCAUCAUCGUCAUGUAUUGUGUCGGUCAUAAGGAUUGUGGUUGUGGCAGUGCUUCAGCGCUAAGGGCAUGUUUCCAUCAGAAUGUUGGAGCAGCUGGCUCAGCCAACAUGGUGAGGGUGUCUCCCAAGACCUCUGGAUGGGAUUGGCAUUCCACAAAUUGUUCAAUACCUUAUCUACUUUGCAACAAUGGGAUGAUGAGCUGAUUUCUCGUCUAGCGUAAAGAGAGAGAAUGAUAUAUCCGAUGUUCUUAAUUACUAGAGUCAGGGUCCUGCUCAAAUCGUGGUCCUUCUGUUCUAUGUAAUUUUAUUUUCUUGAUGAUGUGAUGUUCUGCCAUUCAUUCUAUGUUAUGCCUGAUGCGUGUGUCUUAAGCCUACCAAUAACUUUUUGGAUCAAUGGUAAAUCUACUGAGCAAACUCCUGUCUUAUCCCAAUUGUGUGUCUUAAGGUUAAUCUAUUCAUAGUUACUUUUCCUUACAAAGGUCAUCUC
rnacentral:lncRNA from 1 species